CCUACGGGAGGCAGCAGUGGGGAAUAUUGGACAAUGGGCGAAAGCCUGAUCCAGCAAUGCCGCGUGAGUGAUGAAGGCCUUAGGGUUGUAAAGCUCUUUUACCAGGGAUGAUAAUGACAGUACCUGGAGAAUAAGCUCCGGCUAACUCCGUGCCAGCAGCCGCGGUAAUACGGAGGGAGCUAGCGUUGUUCGGAAUUACUGGGCGUAAAGCGUGCGUAGGCGGUGAUUCAAGUCAGAGGUGAAAGCCUGGAGCUCAACUCCAGAACGGCCUUUGAAACUAGAUCGCUAGAAUUAUGGAGAGGUAAGUGGAAUUCCGAGUGUAGAGGUGAAAUUCGUAGAUAUUCGGAAGAACACCAGUGGCGAAGGCGACUUACUGGACAUAUAUUGACGCUGAGGUACGAAAGCGUGGGGAGCAAACAGGAUUAGAUACCCUGGUAGUCCACGCCGUAAACGAUGAUAACUAGCUGUUCGGGCUCUCAGAGCUUGAGUGGCGCAGCUAACGCAUAAGUUAUCCGCCUGGGGAGUACGGUCGCAAGNUAAAACUCAAAGGAAUUGACGCUGAGACGNGCGAGACGACACGAGGAGAG
rnacentral:rRNA from 1 species